rnacentral:rRNA from 1 species
AGAGUUUGAUCAUGGCUCAGGAUGAACGUUGGCUGUGUGCCUAAGGUAUGCAAGUCGAACGAUCCUUUUCUGAAUUUCAAAGACUUUGGUCAAUGAUUUUCUAUUUAGGAUAGUGGCAAACGGGUGAGUAAUACGUAGAUAACUUGCCUUGAAGUCGGGAAUAGCUCGUCGAAAGACGGGGUAAUAUCCGAUAGUCUCUAUUCACGUUAAGUGUUUUAGAGUAAAGUUUUUCGCUUCAAGAGAGGUCUGCGUCCUAUCAGCUAGUUGGUGAGGUAAUAGCUCACCAAGGCUAAGACGGGUAGCUGGUGUGAGAGCACGGUCAGCCACCGCGGAACUGAGACACGGUCCGCACUCCUACGGGAGGCAGCAAUUAGGAAUCUUGCGCAAUGGGGGCAACCCUGACGCAGCGACACAGCGUGGAGGAUGAAGGUCUUCGGAUUGUAAACUCCUUUUAUAUGGGAAGAAUAAAUGACUGUACCAUAUGAAUAAGUACCUGCUAACUACGUGCCAGAAGCAUCGGUGAUGCGUAGGGUACAAACGUUAUCCGGAUUUACUGGGCGUAUAGAGAUGCGUAGGCGGUUUGAUAAGUCGUAAGUUAAAGACCUCGGCUCAACCGAGGGAGAGCUUUCGAAACUAUCAGACUUGAGACAUAGAGGGGUGA